UAGGGAAUCUUCGGCAAUGGACGAAAGUCUGACCGAGCAACGCCGCGUGAGUGAAGAAGGUUUUCGGAUCGUAAAACUCUGUUGUUAGAGAAGAACAAGGACGUUAGUAACUGAACGUCCCCUGACGGUAUCUAACCAGAAAGCCACGGCUAACUACGUGCCAGCAGCCGCGGUAAUACGUAGGUGGCAAGCGUUGUCCGGAUUUAUUGGGCGUAAAGCGAGCGCAGGCGGUUUCUUAAGUCGGAUGUGAAAGCCCCCGGCUCAACCGGGGAGGGUAAUUGGAAACUGGGAGACUUGAGUGCAGAAGAGGAGAGUGGAAUUCCAUGUGUAGCGGUGAAAUGCGUAGAUAUAUGGAGGAACACCAGUGGCGAAGGCGGCUCUCUGGUCUGUAACUGACGCUGAGGCUCGAAAGCGUGGGGAGCAAACAGG
rnacentral:rRNA from 1 species